UACGGAGGGUGCAAGCGUUAUCCGGAAUCACUGGGUUUAAAGGGUGCGUAGGCGGCGCUAUAAGUCAGAGGUGAAAGGCCACCGCUUAACGGUGGGACUGCCUUUGAUACUGUAGUGCUUGAAUCAGGCUGAGGUCGGCGGAAUGUGACAUGUAGCGGUGAAAUGCUUAGAUAUGUCAUAGAACACCAAUUGCGAAGGCAGCUGACUAGACCUUGAUUGACGCUGAGGCACGAAAGCGUGGGGAGCGAACAGGAUUAGAUACCCGGGUAGUCC
rnacentral:rRNA from 1 species